rnacentral:rRNA from 1 species
GACAGAGGUGCCGAGCGUUAGGCGGAAUCACUGGGCUUAAAGCGUGUGUAGGCGGCCCGUUAAGUGUCCGUGUGAAAUCCCCCGGCUCAACCGGGGAACCGCCGGGCAUACUGGCGGGCUUGGGCCACUCAGGGGCAGACGGAACAGGCGGUGGAGCGGUGAAAUGCGUAGAUAUCGCCUGGAACGCCGAAGGUGAAAACAGUCUGCUGGGGGUGUGCCGACGCUGAGACACGAAAGCCAGGGGAGCGAACGGG